GCUAAAUUCCCAGCCCCUUGGAGACUGAAUUUUUAAGUGCAAGGGAUUUGAACCCAAGGCCUGGUACCACUGAGCAAUCUCCCAGCCUUAAGAUGUAGAUUCUUGAAUUUCAUUCUCUAGUCAGGUACCGGGAAUCGAACUCACGAACUUGCACUUGCCAGGCAGGCCCUGUGCUGCUGAGCUAAAUCCCCAACCCCUUCCAUCACAUCUGGAGCAUGACUUACCCUGUCCCGAUGGAUUCCCGCUGAAGCUGACCCAAUGCAGAGCCAAGUGCAAGGCAUUUCUCGGGGAGGCACAGGGACUUGGUACUGGGAAGAGGGUAGGGAUACCAGAGUGGCACACAGACCAGCUACCAAGCCAGUGAUGGCGGCUCACACCUAUGUGGAAACUGGGAACAUAUGCAAAGCAUGUCUCACUAUCCCUUUUCCUAAGAGACAAAGGAGCUGAAGUCUUCAUGCCCUAAGUCCCAUUCGCCAUUGGCUGAGGGCUGUCCCUGGUCUAUUAAUUCUCCAGCACUGGUGGCCUGCGAAUGUGGGCUCUGGAAGGAGCUGUCAAGCUCAGAGAUGCAGGCAGUCAGCAGUGGAGGUCAAUGGAAGCAUGCAGAGAUGGGGGCACCGACAGCGUUUACCACACAGCUCGCCUCCAGUGUAUGAGGGCCCUUCUCUGAUGUGUGUCAGGGUGCUUUGGUGGGAUGUUCCUGACUCAGAAGUGUGACUUUAUCCGUGUUCACCAAAAACUGUGUGCUCCUCAAAGUAAGAGUGGGUCAGACUCAUAUAAUUGCAUCGGCACAGUGUCCUGUCCAGUACUGCAUAUAAAUAACCACACUGCGUAGAAAUAACUUUCUCACAUGCAUUUUGAUGGUGUCACGUUGAGGAUUAGAAUAGCUUCUUUCAUUCCACAACAUUUAGGCCAGUAGACAUCAUCAUGAUGAGUCUGUAACUUAACCCGAUUCUUAUGGUUAAGUGAGGUAAGUGGUAGAGUCCUUUUGCAGACCAGCUUUUGUAACACAGGGUUGAUUUACAACACACAGAGAAAUGCAGCUUUGGCAGAUCCCUAUUAGUUUGAUUAGCAUCACCAACUCAAUGGAAAAAAUUCAGUACUCCAAAUUCUAGAACCAAAAUCACAUUUUUAGAUGUACAGAUUUCCUUCUGUGUCUUUUGAAUCUAAAUGAAAAAGAAGCAUAACAAUUUUAAAGUCUUUAUAUAGAGCAUAAGCUGUUUUUAUAAAUGUGGAAUAAUUCAUUGAGGAUGUAAGUAAUGUUGAGGAGGUAUCCUGAAAAAACCUUGUUUUUGAUGUAAUCCAGUCAAAUGGGUUAUUUUUUCCCCUCUGGCACUGCCACCCCCAGUACAUUUUGACAAAGUGAAUUUCCAUAUGUUUCAUCUAAAUGAGUCACAUUCACAGAAAUCAUUCAAAUUAUCUGUGAAUAUUUUUCUUUCGUUCGUGGAUUGAAGGUGGGUGGUUAUGAGGAGUGGGGCGGAUGAUGGGCUUCGUUCUCCAAACCCCAAAUCCUUCAGCUGCCUUUCAUUCCGUACGCCCUGUGCACUCCAGCUUUAUGCUAUACCAGAGGGAAACAGCCAAGUAAAUUGCAAAGAUUAUUCAAUUCCAGUCCACUUUAAGUGCCCUUAAAGGGAGACUGCACUCACAACUUGUCAGCGGGCAGCGAUGCAUUUGCCAUGGAGAAUGCUAGGUGAGAGGUUUCAGAUCACGUAGUAGAGGCAGCCCUCUUCUGAAAAGAUAAUGUCAUCUGUAGCCGGCCGGAUGGAGCGAGACUCGGGUGAGCAGUACCGAGUUGCUCCAGGACCGAGGGAACCAUCUACAGGCUGUCUUACAAGGUGAGUAAACACUGGCAUGGUGUGGCACACCUUCAGCCUAAGGGCCACAAUUGUUCUUUUAGUCUGUCCAUGCCACCUUAUACUGACCUGAAAUCGACACAAACCUGAAUACAAAUGUGACAAUACUUGGGUGCUGGGCCUGUAGCUCAGUGGUAUCCGCCAAGCACAAGACCCUGGGUCAAAUCCCAGCACAAACACCCAAAGCAAACAGAAAUAAACAGCACCAAAAUGAGGCAAUGCCCUUAAUCUGCGCAAGCAAAAGAGAUCCCCUCUGCUGACUGGGUUUAAUGGUGUAUUUGAUUUUCACCUGCCAGUCAAAGGCUGUCUUUAUGAGUCGGUACUUACAGAGUACUCACAUUUGAAUGGCUUAGAUAGGGUGGAUUUAUUAUUGGCUGGUGCUUUCAAAUGAGCGGGUGGGAACAUCUCAUUGAUUCAUUGCUUUUUGAGUUCCACAGUCCCUCUGAGCUCUUGGAAAAAUCCCACUCAGUUCAUUUUGACACACCCGUUGGGCACUAAGGCUGUGGCUGAUGCUGGCGUGACCAGCUAGCCGGACUGUCUGCGAUGUUAAGUGCCUGGUAGGUGCUCAUAGAAACCCGCAGUUUCACAGCACUGCCUAUUGGCUCUGUCUACAGGGAUGGAGGGAGAAGGAAAGGGAAAGAAGGUGGAGUGGGAGAAGGAAGAUCUAUAAAUAGAUCAUUGCAUGCAGGAAAUGUGACAGGAACGUAGCUGAGGUGGAGGAAAGUGUCUUUCCUCUUUGCAUUUAUGAAUAUUACUACACUGGAAGCAUUCCAUGUUGUGGGGCAGUGUGAUACACCCAACCUGAGGUCUUUAAAUAUUUCUAAAGUGGUGACUCUGAAGUCCUAUGAGAUGAGGUGGCUCCUGUCUCACCCUGGCUGUCUGCUUUCUGCUUGAACAAGCACCCAUGAUGGCUCGAGUGGGAACCUGUGGUCUGCCCAGUGUCGUGCCCCCCACUUUGCUGGCGGGGCGGCACAUCGAAGCAGACAGCACCUGCGUGGCUGCCUGACUUCACAGGACAGGGGUGUGGAAGCUGUUCGCAUCUGCACACACAACAGAGCCAGAAAGUAGACUGGGAUCAACCUGUCUCAUUUUAUUAAAAAAAUAUUAUUUAUACUGUACCUAUUUCUAAGGCAUCUUUGAAAUGACUUACAAUAAAAGAAAAAUAAAUGAGACUCAUUUAAGAAGGAUGAAAAGUUAAAGAUUAUGUCAAGUAGAAAAUGAUAAGCCUAGGCUAAUAAUAGCUAUUACAGGUUAACACUAAUUUUAGUAGUGAGUUCCCAGGCAAUCACAAUUUAAAAAUGUGGGGAGGGACUUAACUUUGAUACCUAAAAGAAUACAUGUGAGUUCAUCCAGAGGUGAGCUUUCUCCUAAGAUUGCUAACUCUUAAUAGAAACUUAUUUCAAGGACCCUGCAUGUAGGCAGGGACUAACUAAUGAGCGCUUUUAGUGGUGAUAUUUUUUAAAUUGUAGAAAUGUUCUUCAUGUGCCUAUUUCUUACAGUGUGAAAAGGAGCUGGCUGGUUCAUGUAGGAGACUUAAAAUAAUCUUUAGCGUUUGAGUUUUACUUCGACUGAGCUGUAUCUUACCCACGCCAGAAGCAUGGACAUGAGCUUUCUGGCAGGAAAUCUGAGCCCUGGCCCUCUUCGUCUUUGGCUGAGCUGUUUUCUGUCCCAGGCUCUAAAAGGACUGGCCAUGUGCCUUCCCCAAAGCAUUUAUUGCCGCGGUUCUGCGGUUCCUUGGGGCUGUCUUCAUUAAGAAUUCUUGAAAUUCCUCUCUUUUCUCACUUGCGGAGGGCCUUGGGAUACGGAUUUAUGGUCCCUUUAGAGCUUAGGCCUGUCUCAAAAAAUCUUGGACUGUUCUGGAAAGCACCCGGAGCCUGCUAGAUACCUUCUGUGUCCUGCUGGGAAUGUGGCCCUUUUCUGUGAUGUGUGCUGAUUCUGAACUCCGGUGCUCCAGCUGAGGAGAUGAGAACCCAGCUUCCGGAGAGACCUUUGAAAUGACACACCAUUUCAUUGCAGUGGUCAAUGCCACAACUAAUUUCGGCAAUCCUUUGUGUUUCACAAAAAUGCUCCCCGUCAUUAAUAUUUACAGUAUUUUAUUUCCCAAAUUCUGCCUAGUUCAAUGACAUCACAGAUACUGUGUAUCUCAUCUUCAAAGGCUAUGAAAUAAUUUGAUGAAAGCAGCAAAUUGAGCCUGGCUCAGAGCCAUUCAUACAGCGGGCAUAGAACCCAGAUGCCAAAUGUCAAAUAUCAUUUUAAACCAGCAGAGCGCUAAAGGAAUAGAACAGUUUACCUGGAUAGCAAUGCCAUUCCAGUUAAUAGAGAACUCAAGAAGGAAAUGAUAUCGGGGUAAAGACACAUGAAAAACAUUCAAUAACCUUCAGAACAUAUGGAAAUUAAUGAUAUUCAAAGUUUGCAGAAUACUGAGAUUUUUCAGCUUAAAAUAAUCUUCCUGCUGAUGCGCAGUUACUGGAGGGUUCCCAAAAUGCCACAGAGAAAAUUAGAUGCAAGCAAAAAAAGCAAAGCUCUGCUCUGGGACUCAGGGUGUGGGGUGGAAAUAAAGUGCAGUCG